rnacentral:rRNA from 1 species
GGAGUUUGGACCGUGUCUCAGUUCCAAUGUGGGGGACCUUCCUCUCAGAACCCCUACUGAUCGUCGGCUAGGUGGGCCGUUACCCCGCCUACUACCUAAUCAGACGCAUCCCCAUCCCUUAGCGGUGAACCUUUGCUUCAUUUCAGAUGUCCUCUACGAAGAACAUAGGGUAUUAAUCCGACUUUCGCCGGGCUAUCCUCUACUAAGGGGAAGGUUGGAUACGCGUUACUCACCCGUGCGCCGGUCGUCAGCAAGAAAAGCAAGCUUUCCUCCUGUUACCCCUCGACUUGCAUGUGUUAAGCCUGUAGCUAGCGUUCAUC